rnacentral:lncRNA from 1 species
GAAAAAAAAAAAAAAAAGACAAGAUUUCAACAAAAGUCCACCUAAUUCCUUAUAUAAUCCUUCAUAAUUAUGCAGAUCCCAUUAUAUUGACUUAUCCUUUUACAUGACUAGCUCCCUCUCUAAAUGGGGAGAUCUUAGAGGGCAGAGGCUGGGUCUUAUUGAUUUAUGGAUUCUCAAUGCAUGACCCAAUGCUUGGUGCAUAGUGAGUGAUGGGUUGAUGGAUAAUUACAAGUAACUGAACGUUGUCUAACUUCUCCAUGGGUGGGAAAUGGGAGAGAAUAAGGGAAGAAAUUCAGUCCUGGAGAAGCUUUCAGUAGUCUCAUAGGAAACAUCUGUAGGUCUAAAGGGGAAAACCAGUGUCUGCAAUUGACUAGAAUGCACUGCUAGGGCAGGGACUGCUGGGGCAGGGAAACUACUGGGGAAGGGGCUGCUAGGUGCUAUUGUUAUUGAUAAUAAUAAAUGGCAUUUACCAAAACAAAAACUAAUAUGUUCCUGAAUCUGCGCUAAGUGCCUUUAUUUAUGUGACCUUAUAUAAUUCCCACAAGAACUCCAUGUAGUUCUUGAAGUUCAUGACUAAUAAUGAACUAUGACUGUGCCCUUUAUAUAGAUUGGAAAAUUGAAGCUGGAAAGUGAAGGAGCCUUUGAAGAGCAGAAGCAGAAGGCUUCCAGUUCAGAUCUGUCUCUCUGCAGAGCUCUCCUUUGUUCUAGCCAGUUUCCAUCUUCUUGGUGUUGCUAAGACAAGCUGUUACUAAGAGGAGGCUAUCCUGACUGACGGCUCAUGCUGGUUUGAGGGUCCUUCUCUUAUUCUGCAGGAAAAGAUACAGAAACAAUGGGAAACACCCCUACAGAGCUCGAGCUUGAGGAUGUGAGCAUCGAUGAGCUUUCCUUUUCUUGGCAAGGGGUUUGGUCUUCAGCUAAAUGUGUGUUUUUGCUGAUUUUAGGGGGAUUCUAAAGCAGCACUGGUUCAUCUAGCUGGAAGUAGCCUCAGCCAAGGCCAUGCUGCUGCAAAAAGUCAAUCCUGGAGCUCAUUUGCUCUUCACUUGACAUAAGUGCUUCCUUUGGUAUUAAUUUUUUUUUUUUUUGCACCAGUGAAGGUUCUUACUUGAAACUGAUUUAACAUAUUAAGGAAAGGGAUCAAUUGAAAGAAUGUUGGGUAGCUCACAGAUGACUGGGAAGUCUGCUUUGGAUGCCUGCUGGAACAAUGGAGGUUGAGAAACAGCUAGGACCCCAGCUGAAAUCAUGCCUGUCUGAGUCGGAAAUUCACUCUAAACAGGAGAAGCAGCAAUGAGAACUUCAAGAAGAGAUAUAAGCUCAUCCAAGAUCAACUGCAGAGGAGGACGAGGGAAAUUUUAUAUGGGAACAAUUAUCUGAAAAAUAGUCAUUCAUCGAUUCAAGCUCUGACAUCUUUCGGUUCUGCCAUUCCCCCAGAGAAUGUCCUCAUUUGUAUGGUCAAGGCUGGGUUGCAGAGAAGUCCAUGUUGCAGCUCAUGGAAAAAAAGAACCAAAGGGACUCAAGAACACUGGCUUAUGUCUUAGAUUGGAGAUGACCUGGAAAGUCAACUUUCACCCAUAACCCAUUGGCCUAAAGUAAGUCCCAGAGUCAACUUGAAUUGCAAGGGAUCCGGAGUAAUGCUGUUUAUACCUGGAGUGCUGGGGACCCAGCUUAAACUCUACCACCAUAGAAGACAGGGAAGAUAGAUUUUGAUGGAUGACCAGAAGUUUCUGUUACAUGUACAACAGAUUAAAAAUAUAUAUAUUGCCAGCUGGGUGUGGUGGCUCAUGCCUGUAAUCCCAGAACUUUGGGAGUCCAA